GGUGUCGACAAGUGAGUGCUGCCCUCUCAAUUCUUUUGUUGGAUAUAUGGAGUAUUUGUAUAAUGCUAUUUCUUUUUCAGUCUGAUUAGUAACUAGAAGUUAUUCUUACUGCAGGUAUGUAGCUGAUGCUUAUGCAAUAUUUUGUGCGGGUAGGGCAAGGGAGAUGGUACCUGAUGAUCACAACAGAUGGAUUAGUUCAGUUCCAGUACAUGAUUAGUGAAGUGCAAGGGGAAACAGAUGUGGGUGACGCCAUGCAGUCCUAGAUGGGAUAAUUUUACAUUCCAACUAGGGUUGGUUUUGUGUGGUUCAUGUACCUUGGAUACUUUUCUCCCUUAGAUUAGUGUGAAGCUUGAGAUGAUAUUACCUCACAAGCACUCUUGAUGGAUGCAA